rnacentral:lncRNA from 1 species
AGAAUACUGUGCUGAGGCCCCAAAACAGAAAGGAAAGCUCACCACCAGAAUGUGCCUUUUCCUUAUCAAAAAGAAUUGCUGCCCCUUACAGGACAGGAGGACUCCAAUUGUGACCAAGUUGGAGCAGCCUUGAGCCACAACUCAGACUUAUUUUCAUUCUCUGCUCAUUGGCCAUUAGGAACCCGAUCCUUAUGAUGUUGUUGCUAUGAUUUUUCUUUUUAAGACCUGCAGUGACCUGCUGCUACCAGAACUGACUCGCUUCAAAGUGACGGAUGAAACCCAUAUGGAGAUAUUCCUGGGGUGGGUAGGCCAGUUGGAAGACAGAGUGUUUACACCUGAGAGAGGACUUGAGGAAAAGCAGUUGAAAUACCAUUAGUUAACAGAUUGCCCAAUGAAGUCGAUGACAACUGUGAUAACAAGUUACUCACUAUCACAGCGUCUCCAAGAGAUGAACAGUGGAUGAUGCUUCCAAAGCACAGAUGUCCCUCUCCUCCUCAACCUUCUCUCCCCAGAAAGAUGUCAACACUGUGGAGAUUGUGCUAUGAAGAUACCUGGUGUGGCAUUGCAAUAGAUGAAAUAUUAAGGGCAAUUCAACAAUUUUCUGAACAAAUACAUGGAUUUAACUUGAAGUUGAAUUUAAUUUGACUUCAAGAAAAAU